CGUGUAGGCGGCUGGAUAAGUCAGAUGUGAAAGCCCUGGGCUUAACCCAGGAAGUGCAUUUGAAACUGUUCAGCUAGAGUAAGGGAGAGGAAAGUGGAAUUCCUGGUGUAGAGGUGAAAUUCGUAGAUAUCAGGAGGAACACCGGUGGCGAAGGCGACUUUCUGGCCCUAUACUGACGCUGAGACGCGAGAGCGUGGGUAGCAAACA
rnacentral:rRNA from 1 species